AAAAAUGUUGGUUUUAAAAUGUUGAUUUUUUUUUUUAAUCUCUAGUCUGUGAUAUACCACUGUAUUUUUAUGGAAAGGACAUUGUAAAGUAAAAGAUUUUGAGGUGACUUUGCUAAAGUUUGACCAUCAGUUGAGCCCUGGAGAUGCUUCUACUGUCAGAGACCUACAUCAGGGAAAUGUUUCCCCCUUUGAUUUUGUGAGGCAGAAAAUGACGAGGUAGGCAGUGGUUUAUGUGAGGACAACACUGCUGAAGGCAGCAGAUGGAGGCAAAAAUGCAAUAAAAAUCCUG
rnacentral:lncRNA from 13 species